rnacentral:lncRNA from 1 species
CAUUAGAAUUCAUCACAAAUGUCAUGUUAUGUAACAGGUUGUUUGCAUUAGAAUGCAUCACAAAUGCCAUGUUAUGUAACAGGUUGUUUGCAUUAGAAUUCAUGAAUAUGAUGCAUUGCAUAUGUACUGUUGUUGUGGAUGGAUAUUGGAUGACCCACUAGCCCUCGAGCAGGUUAUGUUAUGACGGAUACGGAAGACCAGGGCUGCCCAUUCUACGCGCCCUGACGCUAUGUAAGAGAAAGAUUAGGGCUGCCCAUUCUACGCCCCUAGCAUUUAUGGAUAUGUUAUGUUAUGUUUAAGAGGAAGUCCUGAGGAGUUUCGUCGAGGGCCGGGCAUUAAUUGGAAUAUGUAAGGGGUUAUUGGUGACAAGUCCAUUCUUGAUGUAUAUUGUUUGUGUUGUGAUGCAUUUCAUGAGAGCAUAUGUUUAUUAAACUCUUUUUAUGUUCUGCUCACUAGACUCUUGUAGCUUAUCCCUUUCCCCUAAUCCCAG